GUCAUUGGGAAUUUUGAUCCAAGCCUCUCCAGCAGGGCUUAGCCUUGAACAUUCAUCUGUAGUCCCUGGGAACCAGUGUGUGCUCAUUUGACUUCCCUCUAUCAGCUUCAGUUCAGUGGAAGCAGCAAGCAGACAUAGAAUUUCCUAUGUGAGUGAACGAUCAUAGCAGGAUCAGUAGCCAUGUGACAUUCUAAGACCUAUCUGUGCUUUAGUCAUCAAAAUGGACUGAGAUUUGGAAUACCAGGGAUUACCACAGAAGUCAACAUUAGAAAUGCAUCUCUCUAAGUUUCAGUUUAUUAGCCAGGGAUAUCAUGUCUUAGAUGUAGUUAUAGGGAUUAAAUUGUGUGUAAAACAUCUUUAAAAGUGCCUCACAGUGUAGAUUUCAAAUAAAUUCUAAAAUAUCAAAUGAUUCCCCCAAACCAUUUCCUCAGAGUAUUGGGAGCAGCACCAGGGGUCGCAGUGCUCUUAGCGGUUCUGUGACGGAGCUGUGACAGCUCUGCAAAUGAGUGAAGGCCUGUGGUAGCUGUGUUAGAUAGGACCAGGCUUGUGUGAGCUCCUAAACUGUACAGCUAUUUACAUAAUGUUUACAUUGUAUGGGGUAUGGUAGUUUUUAAGUCCACAGGAAGAUGUGUGCAGGUUAAACUUCAGCAGCAAAUGCAACUCCAUUUUACCUAAGGGAUUGAAAAAUCUGUGUGCUUUGGGAUCUGAGAAGUCCUAGAACCAAUCCCCCACAGAGGCUGGAGAACUGUGCUAAGAUUGCUAGCUGUGGAAGAUCAGAGCUAGAGAUUUGAUCGAGAUAAUUAGCUUAAGAGUUUAGAACCUUGUCUGCUGCCAGAGAGGCACAAGUAAAACUUAACACUAAAACGUAGAACAGCCCAUGUUGCCAGUAAUCAGGGAAAGAACAAACUAGUAGAUUCUGCCUAAACAUCAGAAAGGAAAAACCGAUGCCACAACUGGAGUGAGAGAAGCCAGAAGGAAGCGAAUAUGCAGGUUCCAGUUUAGAAGAGGAAACCUUCUCAUAGAAGGCAGGGACUCCUGGGGGAGUAGAGAUGGAGGGAUUGACUGUAAAGAGGCACAUGGGAAUAUUCUUUGUCUUAAUUGUGGCUGUGGUAACAACUGUAUAUAGUUGGCAGACCUCAAAAUUGUCCUGUUGAAAUGAGUAUUAUACAUAAAUUUUAUAAAUAAAGCUGAUUUUCUUUAAUUUUUUUUUAUUUUCAGUGCUGGCAUCUAACCCAGGGUCUCAAACAGUAUUAGGCAAGUGUACUGCUGAGCCUACUCCUGGCCCAAAUCAGACAAACACACACACACACACACACACACACACACACACAGCCAUUACUACUUUGUUGAUGCAGAAAUUAAAGCCAUGAAUGAAGUAAUGGAGUACAGUUAAGAUUGAAAGGCGCUGUGACCAAUUGGAGUGGACAAAGCCAUUGCAGUUUGCACAUGUGACUUGUGUGAGCAUAAGACAUUGGUCAGUUACUUGUAAAGAGCACAUCUACCCAAAACAUUGAGAGAAGCCAGGUAUAGGAGGACAUACUUACUGUGUGGCUAACUGACAUCUGGAUGGUUGCCAAGGAGGAACCUUGUGGGGUGAUAGCAACCCUAUACCUUGGCUGUUGGUUUUGGGGUUAACACAAGCAUUAAAACACUGAACUGUGGGGUUGGGGAUUUAGCUCAGUGGUAGAGCACUUGCCUAGCAAGCGCAAGGCCUUGGGUUCGGUCCCCAGCUCCGAAAAAAAAGGGGAAAAAAAACAAACAAAAAAACACUGAACUGUGCACAUGAGACCUGUGCAAUUGUAGGCCUCGUUUUAUAACUGAGGAGAAACUGAUGUGUUAAAUUAGCAUCUUAAGUACAUUUCAGUGGUAUUCAUUAAGUUUAUAUUCUACAACGUUCACUUCCCCUGGUUCUAGAGU
rnacentral:lncRNA from 1 species